rnacentral:rRNA from 1 species
CCUUUACGGACUAGGAUGAUGGGCCGCAGAGACCAGGGAGAAGCGACUGUUUACUAAAAACACAGGUCCGUGCGAAGUUGCAAAACGAUGUAUACGGACUGACGCCUGCCCGGUGCUGGAAGGUUAAGAGGACGGGUUAGACGCAAGUCGAAGCUCAGAAUUUAAGCCCCAGUAAACGGCGGUGGUAACUAUAACCAUCCUAAGGUAGCGAAAUUCCUUGUCGGGUAAGUUCCGACCUGCACGAAUGGCGUAACGACUUCUCCACUGUCUCAACUGCGAACUCGGCGAAAUUGCAUUACGAGUAAAGAUGCUCGUUACGCGCAGCAGGACGGAAAGACCCCGGGACCUUUACUAUAGCUUGGUAUUGGUGUUUGGGACGGCUUGUGUAGGAUAGGUGGGAGACUUUGAAGCCGGCACGCCAGUGUCGGUGGAGUCAACGUUGAAAUACCACUCUGGUCGUUCUGAAUAUCUAACCUCGGUCCGUGAUCCGGAUCAGGGACAUUGCCUGGUGGGUAGUUUAACUGGG